UGACCAAUGCCGGCAGCAGACAACCCAACAGUGAUCAUGACCUUUUUUCCGGUGCAUGUUUGGCUUUGGGAAGUACUUUGGAGCUUCUUUCAGUCUAACCACUGAGCUGAACGUCUCUGGUUGUCAUAUGAAAUCCACUUUUCAUCACACGUCACAAUCGGAUUGAGAAAUGGUUCGUUGUUGUGUAGAAUAAGAGAAAGCGGCACUUCAAAAUUACAAUUUUUAAAUUUUUGCUCAGCUCAUAAGGUACCCAUUUAUUGAGCCUUUUCACCUUUCCAAUUUGCUUCAAAUGACCAAUGACCGUAGAAUGGUCAACAUUGAGUUCUUUGGCAACUUCUUGUGAAGGUGUAAGAGAUCAGCUUCGAUGAUUGUUCUUAAUUGGCUGUUAUCAACUUCCAACAGCCAAACCCUAUGCUCCUCAUUCUCAAGGCUCUCAUCUCCUUUGCAAAACUUGAAAUACCACUGUACAUAUGUUCAUUAGCAGUUACUGGGCCAGAAGCAUUGUUGAUGUUGAGUUUUCUCCACUGCUUUACGACCCAUUUUGAACUCGAAUAAGAAAAUCACUCAAAUUUCCUUUUUGUCUAACA
rnacentral:lncRNA from 10 species